UACGUAGGGUGCAAGCGUUAAUCGGAAUUACUGGGCGUAAAGCGUACGUAGGCGGUUUGUUAAGUCGGAUGUGAAAUCCCCGGGCUCAACCUGGGUGCUGCAUUCGAUACUGGCAGACUUGAAUACGGUAGAGGGGGGUGGAAUUCCAGGUGUAGCGGUGAAAUGCGUAGAGAUCUGGAGGAACACCAGUGGCGAAGGCGGCCCCCUGGACCGAUAUUGACGCUGAGGUACGAAAGCGUGGGGAGCAAACAGG
rnacentral:rRNA from 1 species